UGAACGUGACUCUUUGACAGCUGAGUGAAUACAGCUGAGUGAGCUCAGUAGUGCGUUGAUACACGGUGUGGCUCUGCCUCGCUGACUGUGCCUUUUCGGGACAAUCGCUGGAUUGUUACACAGCCUCUUCCAGAACAGAUUCCCAGACCAUAAAUGUCGCGCACAGCACUCCAGCGGAGCGUUUUCACACUCAAACAGAAGUUACAAUCCUAACGAGUCUGAGUCGCGUCAAGAUGCCAGGAGCGAAAGGUAACAAGCCGGACAAAAAAUCUGCCACAAAGCAACAGCAGGGCAACAAGGAUCAAACAAAAAAGAGCGAUCAAAAAGGAGAUGAUAACAACAAAAAGCAAGGAGGACAGCCAAAGGGAGAGAAGCAGUAACUUCCAGGCUUUUAUCAAAAUGGCUUUGGAAACAUUGCUUGGAAAAUGUCGACGUAAAUCUGUCAGUCCACGGUACAGAUGAACCCACUUCUUCCCACUUAUCUCUCCAAGUCUUACUUUGUUUCUAUCUACUCUCUUUAUCUCUGAAAAUAAAUUUUAUGUAUAUAUGCUAGGCAAAGGCCUUCUUUUUUUCAGUAAAGCAAAAAAAAAAGUUCAGAGUUCACAUAUGGAAGCAUUUUUGCUUUAAUCACAGUUGGAAUCACAUACAUUAGGACUUUGUAGUAGAAAUGGGAAAAGAGCAGCAUAAACCUUAAACCUUGCAU